UUUCACUUUCUUUUCUGAGGAAAUCAGCAGAAAGUUAGCAGUUGUGUCUAAUGUUUUACAUAUGAGUGUUGGUAGUUUUUUAUAAACUCGGAAACAGCGCUAUCACCAUAAUUGAAAAGUUAUUUGUGGGUGCUGAAAGGCUUAAACAAGUUGCAGAAUUAAGGUGAAGGCAUUUGGAAAAUAUUCUAAGCUAACACACAAUGACUCCCGUAACUGAACAUAGCGGUAACAUACUGCCUGUUGUUUGCGUGGUGUUUGCAGCACUGGUUGUGGGAGUUUUCUUAGGAUGGAAAAUGAGGAUCUUACAAGAAAAAUCAUACAGAAAAAUGAGAGAAAUCUCAGCUGCCAUAAAAAAAGAACUUGCUGCCUUAUUUGUCAUUAUUGUUGUCAGUACUUUCAUUUAUUAUUAUUAUUAUUAUAAACAAUAAUAAGACAAACUAAUUCUGCAGGUUAAUAAAAUGAAGUUUCAAACA